GACGAACGCUGGCGGCGUGCCUAAUACAUGCAAGUAGAACGCAGUUGCGAACGGGUGAGUAACGCGUAGGUAACCUGCCUCAUAGCGGGGGAUAACUAUUGGAAACGAUAGCUAAUACCGCAUACUGUGAGAUGGACCUGCGUUGUAGUAUCUAGUUGGUUAGGUAACGGCUCCCCAAGGCGACGAUACAUAGCCGACCUGUGAGGGUGAUCGGCCACACCUGGACUGAGACACGGCCCAGACUCCUACGGUAGGCAGCAGUGGGGAAUAUUGCACAAUGGGCGCAAGCCUGAUGCAGCCAUGCCGCGUGUAUGAAGAAGGCCUUCGGGUUGUAAAGUACUUUCAGCGGGGAGGCGUUACCCGCAGAAGAAGCACCGGCUAACUCCGUGCCAGCAGCCGCGGUAAUUC
rnacentral:rRNA from 1 species